AUUGAACGAUGGCGGCAGGCCUAACACAUGCAAGUCGAGCGAGCGGCGGACGGGUGUGUAAUGUAUGGGGACUGCCCGAUAGAGGGGGAUAACUACUGGAAACGGUGGCUAAUACCGCAUACUAUCGGAUAACCCAUAUGGGAUUUGCUAGUAGGUGGGGUAAAGGCUCACCUAGGCGACGAUCUCUAGCUGGUCUGCGAGGAGGAUCAGCAACACUGCGGCUGAGACACGGCCAAGACUCCUACGGAGGCAGCAAUGGGGAAUAUUGCACAAUGGGCGCAAGCCUGAUGCAGCCAUGCCGCGUGUAUGAAGAAGGCCUUAGAGUUGUAAAGUACUUUCAGCGGGGAGGCGUUACCCGCAGAAGAAGCACCGGCUAACUCCGUGCCAGCCGCCGCGGUAAUUC
rnacentral:rRNA from 1 species